GACAGAGGCCUCAAGCGUUAGGCGGAAUCACUGGGCUUAAAGCGUGUGUAGGCGGAAUGGUAAGUACCUUGUGAAAUCCCACGGCUCAACCGUGGAACUGCUUGGUAUACUGCUUUUCUUGAGCCACUUAGGGGCAACCGGAACAAACGGUGGAGCGGUGAAAUGCGUAGAUAUCGUUUGGAACGCCAAUGGUGAAAACAGGUUGCUGGGAGUGUGCUGACGCUGAGACACGAAAGCCAGGGGAGCAAACGGG
rnacentral:rRNA from 1 species